rnacentral:lncRNA from 1 species
GUUCAGCAAUUUUUGCUAACACAGAUGAUAACGCUAUAGGACGAUAGGAGGAAACAUAAGAUGGAUUUUUAUUGGGUUUUAGUAUUGGCAACACUAACUGAUGUUUCCAUGACAAUGGCAUUUUCCCUGUAGUAAUAAUUAAAUUAAUAAGAGCUAAAUAAUAGGAAAGAGCACCGUCUCCUAGAUUAGCAAGGAAUGAAUAUGUUAUGCCAUCAUUUCCAGGAGCAGUAUCUUUGACAUUUGUUAAAAUACCUUUAAGUUCAGGGAGAGUAAAAAGGAACACUUUAUCAGCUGCUUCAUUUAAUAAUGUGCAUAAGGCAUCUGCACAUUCACACGGAUCAUUUAUUGAAACAUUUGGAAGAGAGGAUAUACUGUUUUCAACAAUUGAUUUAAAAUUACCCCAAUCUCCAUCAUUCAACCUAUAUUUAAUUCUUGGACCUUGUUGAGGGAUUUUUAAAUAUUUCUGAGGAAACUUAAUUAAAAUUGGGAAGUGAUCACUUCCAAAGGUGGAAUCCAUAGUAUUCCAGGACAAAGUGGAAGCUAAAUUUGGAGUGCAAAUGGAUAAAUCAAUAGCGCUUAAGAUUCCAUCAGGACCAGUGCGAUGUGUUGGACUACCAGUAUUCAGGAUGCAAAGAUUAUGAGUAUCUAAAAGUUCCAAAACAGCUUCUCCAUUGGAGUUAGAGAUGGAACUGCCCCAUGAUCUAUGAUGUGAAUUGAAGUCCCCUAGCAAUAUAAAUGGCCGAGGUAAAGAAGAAAGCAUAUUAUUAAUUUCAAUGAAAACGA